rnacentral:tRNA from 1 species
GGGCGCUUAGCUCAGUCUGGAUAGAGUGCGUGGCUUCGGACCACGUUGUCGCGGGUUCAAAUCCUGCAGCGCCCA